AAAAGGAAUAAAAAAGGCAGAGAGGAAAAAGAAAGAAGAAGAAAUCAUGCAUGGUGGUUUGUGUUCUAUAUGAAUGACUGGAUGAACAUGUGAUCAUGUAAUCUGUGGGCUAGCUAGGAUUCUAAAAGGAAAAAAACUCUGAACAAAGAGAGGGAUGAUGAUAUCAGGACACCAAUGGACAGCCUCCAAACUCCAGAUUUUUCGUGCAUCACAGACCAUCCUUUUGGUGCCUUUCCAACUCUGCGGGAUGAAACUUCCCAUGGCUGCUGAAGCGAUGAUCUAAAAAACUUCUGCUUCUUGAGAAAGCCCAAUACCCUCCGGCUCAGGGGUGUCAGGAUGGGAUGGAAUAUGCAGCUCUCAGAGCCCACUGAAGCUUUCCAUCAACAUCCCAAUGUUCUAGAAACUGACUGCUCCUGCCAGUGCAUUGGCUUAUUUCCAUCAUUUCACCACCACAUUCUCAAGGUGGGUCCCUGUGCUUAUCCACUGAAGAGUCAACAGUGUUACUUUUUUUAAUACUUGGUCAAAUUAAU